rnacentral:rRNA from 1 species
GAACGCUGGCGGCGUGCCUAAUACAUGCAAGUCGAACGCACAGCGAAAGGUGCUUGCACCUUUCAAGUGAGUGGCGAACGGGUGAGUAACACGUGGAUAACCUACCUCAAGGUUGGGGAUAACAUUUGGAAACAGAUGCUAAUACCGAAUAAAACUUCGUAUCGCAUGAUACAAGGUUAAAAGGCGCUACGGCGUCACCUAGAGAUGGAUCCGCGGUGCAUUAGUUAGUUGGUGGAGUAAAGGCCUACCAAGACAAUGAUGCAUAGCCGAGUUGAGAGACUGAUCGGCCACAUUGGGACUGAGACACGGCCCAAACUCCUACGGGAGGCUGCAGUAGGGAAUCUUCCACAAUGGGCGAAAGCCUGAUGGAGCAACGCCGCGUGUGUGAUGAAGGCUUUCGGGUCGUAAAGCACUGUUGUAUGGGAAGAACAGCUAGAGUAGGGAAUGACUUUAGUUUGACGGUACCAUACCAGAAAGGGACGGCUAAAUACGUG